AAGGGUGAAACGGUGCGGUAAGAGCGCACCGCGGGGGUGGUAACAUCCCCGGCAUGGCAAGCCCCACCGGGAGCAAUGCCAAAUAGGGACCGCGCGCCGCGUCUGGCAACAGGCAAGGCGGGGCUUCUUCUGCCCCAGCAGGUCCGGGUUGGCAGCUAUAGCCAUGCAGGCAACUGUAUGGUCAGAGGAAUGGUCAUCCCCUGUCUUCGGGCAGGGACAAAAUCCGGCUUAUAGGCCCUCC
rnacentral:RNase_P_RNA from 13 species